UCGUUGUCAGUGCACUCCUUAGUGCCCUGGGAGAAGUAGCAGCACCACCAGCUCAGCAACACAGGAGAAGUACCCAGAGGAUGUGAGAAUACCCAGUGGAAAUAAGUUUACCGAUACUUCAUGGCUCUAGGAGUAUGGUAAAAACUAAUGCAGCACAAAGGAACCCUGUCAACCCUAUUACAGAGGAAAGGACUGGAAUUUGCAAGAGGAAAAAGGGUAACUUCAGAAAGGGAAUGGCGUGCGGGGUCUCCUGCGACUAAGGUUCCAAUCAGGAGGACUAUGAAUAUUCACCAAUACCACAGCAGGAUGAUCCUACAUUCACGGAGGAGGAGGAGGAUGUCUAUGGGGAAACUAACUCCUAUAUCAGCCUCCUAGAAAGUGACAUACCAUGUUAUGGGGUAUGAACCCCAGCAAACACAUCCUCCUCAACACUGGCAGUACAUGCACUCUCCGCAACAGCUGCACCCACCACAACAGCUGCACUCACUGCAACAGCUGCACUCUCCAAAACAGCUGCACCCACCGCAACAGAUGAUGCGCCCACCACAGCAGCAUACAGAUCUGCAUCAUCUAUACUAUAUGCCUCCCACUCCUAUGGCACACCAGGAAUCUACACCACCACGACCCACUGCACCCACCAAUGUUUUUCAAACAAUGCCAUCACAGACAACCUCCCAGUCAACAAUACAGAGAGACAGCCCUGGAACCAGCCAACAAUUUGUUCCUGAGACACCAGGUCUACAACAGGGUCCAGCACAGUCACAUCAGGAUGAUAUACAGAAGAUGAUAUAUAGAGACCUUAGGCUGUCCAGGCUCCAGCAGCAGCAGGCUUUCCACAGAAUCCAGAGCCAAAUGAACAUUCAUAAUGCCUUACUUGUCCACCUGGUAGAGGCAGUGGAGAGGCUCGCGGAUAGGCCGCAAACUCCAUCCUCGCUUACAUCCUCCGUUAUCUCCCUGCAGGACCCUGAAUCACAUCUGUUAGCCUCACAUUUAGCUGGUGGGAGGCACACAAGACGCCACACUUCCCCCCCAAAGUACCUCUCCUCCAAAGUCCAAAUACCGCUGCAAGAAUUAAUUAAUAUUCCCCCCAAGAUAUAUAAUAUCUAAUUUUUUGCAAUAAAGCACUUUAAGUGCGAUUUCCAUCUCAUAAAUAUGCAUAUAUUUUUUUAAUACAAAUUUAAAAAUAUAUUACAAAAUUAUUCUAAUAGCUGUUGAUUAGCAAAAUAUUAACAGCUUUAUUCAUUUUUAUUUCACAUGAUGUCAAUUAAUAUGCAGGUGUACAUUGUUAAUAAAUGUAUGUAUUUCUAUAAAGAAUAUUAUGCCAUUUAAGAAUACUUGAGGAUAAGUGUUUGAAAUAAAUACAGUAUAUGCUAUCUAACA